CACACACGACGAAAUAAUUAAAAAGUUAUAAAUUUAAAUAUAAUUAGAGCCAGUAAAAAAAGGAAAAUGUUUUUAAAAAAUUUAUUAUUAUUAUUUAUCGUCAUUGAUUUGGUAGGACAAGAGAAAUCAGUAAUUGAAUGCCAAAGGCGUUUGUGAAAUUGAGGACGUUCGCAAGUUUCAAUUCAACACAACACGAUUUUGCUGAUGCGCUGUUUCUUUUCAUCUUCUGUCUCCUGCUCCAGCAUUAACUCAUCGCAUCUUUCAGGAAAUCAACCAUAACUACCAGAGUUACCAGUUACUAUACUUAACAACACACAUAUAAAGUGAGUUCCCAGCUUCCCACGUCUCUAAAUAACCGCGGGUAAAAAGAUGAUGAGAGAUAUAAUAUAAGAAGGAGAAAAAAUUAUAAAAUGUUUAAUAAAAAUGUGUUGGGUCUAGAAUUUUUUUAGCAAAGGAUAAAAAUAUAUAUACAUAUAUACGAGGAUGUGUAACCACCGUAUAAUUCCAUAAUGGAGAAAAUCAGCUUGACAUUUAGUGAAAGAAAGCCAAUAUUGCGAAGAAAGCCGCACCCUGGGAUGUUUAUCACGCCAAAGAUGCAUCGGAGAGGAACACGCCCCAGGCGACGACGAACCUCUUUCGAAACUUUCUAAACUACCGAAUAACCCGAUGACUCCCAUAAGUUCUCAUAUAAAUAAUAUUUAUUUUGUUCAUCUUUCCCAUUAAUUUUCCGAUGAAUUCAAAAAUUAUUAGCUCACAUCUGCAGCUUACGGGAUUGUUGGUUUUCAAAAGCGAGAUAAUUAAUGCACAUGAAAAUCGAGGGAAAGUGUAAAAACACAUUUGGAAUAACAUUAAAAUAAUCGUCCCACGUGUGCGAAUACAAUGGAUAGCCUGCUCGAUCACUUUCCCUCGAUACCCUAGAAGAUUUUGUUUCAUUUAUUCACCAGAUCACGAUUUUCUUUACUUCAUAUUUAAAUUUAUCGAUCUCGGAUUCCAUUGAUUAGAUAUUUUAUCCGGCAUGUUUAUUGACCCCGUCACCUCGCUCGCAAAUGUCAGUAAUUAUGUUAAUUAUUAUUCUUUCAUCACUAAAGUAAAUUAAUUAUUUAAUUAACCUGUUAUUAGAUUAAUAAUUAUUGUUAUUAAAUACCCGGCGGAAAUAAUUUAUAGCACGCGCUUGGUUCAUUAGCCAAAGGCUCAUUAGCAAUUUAAGUCUGGAUUAAAAUUUAAUUUUAAAUAAAAAAAUUCAAAUUUUCACAAAAAUAAUUUUUUGAAAUUUUGUCUCUCGUAUGACCAAAAAUCCGCAUCACAAGCCCGCGAAAUUUAAAAAAUAAACAUAUUUAUCAUCACUUUCACUUGAUAAAAUAAAUAUUUAAAUCACAGUUUUAAUCACCCAGUAAUUAAUUAAUUAAUUAAGUAAAAAAAAAAAUUUAUAUUGCAAUUAAAAAAAGAAAACUUACCAAGCGCAUGAUGAGUCAGUUAAAAAAAAACCUCAGUAAUAAAUAAAUAAAUAAAUAAAAAUUUCGUAUUUAAUAUAUAAAUUAACAGUAAUA